rnacentral:rRNA from 1 species
CUGCUGCCUCCCGUAGGAGUCUGGUCCGUGUCUCAGUACCAGUGUGGGGGACCUUCCUCUCAGAACCCCUACGCAUCGUCGGUUAGGUGGGCCGUUACCCCGCCUACUGCCUAAUGCGCCGCAUGCCCAUCCCUGUCCGGCCGAAGCCUUUCCUGCCUCCGGGAUGCCCCGGUGGCAUGUACGCGGGUUUAGCCCGCCUUUCGGCGGGUUGUCCCCCUGACAGGGGCAGGCUGCAUACGUGUUACUCACCCGUGCGCCGGUCGCCGGCGGAG